rnacentral:rRNA from 1 species
CGUGUAGGCGGCUCAGCAAGUCAGGUGUGAAAGCCCUCGGCUUAACCGAGGAAGUGCGCCUGAAACUAUUGAGCUUGAGUACCGGAGAGGGCGGUGGAAUUCCCGGUGUAGAGGUGAAAUUCGUAGAUAUCGGGAGGAACACCAGCGGCGAAGGCGACCGCCUGGACGGCUACUGACGCUGAGACGCGAAAGCGUGGGGAGCAAACAGGAUUAGAUACCCUGGUAGUCCACGCCGUAAACGAUGAGCGCUAGGUGUUGUGGGUGUUGACCCCCGCAGUGCCGCAGCUAACGCAUUAAGCGCUCCGCCUGGGAAGUACGGCCGCAAGGCUAAA